AUACUUACCUGGCAGGGGGAAUACCACAAUCAAGACGGUAGUUUUCCCAGGGUGAGGCUCUUCCACUGCACACUUCAGUUGGGUCAACCCCUGUGAUUUCCCCAAAUGUGGGAAACUCAAUUGCAUAAUUUAUGGUGCUGAUGGCACAGGGGAUAGUGCCCUCA